rnacentral:rRNA from 1 species
UACGAAGGGGACUAGCGUUGCUCGGAAUCACUGGGCGUAAAGCGCACGUAGGCGGACUCUUAAGUCGGUGGUGAAAUCCUGGAGCUCAACUCCAGAACUGCCUUCGAUACUGGGAGUCUCGAGUUCGGGAGAGGUGAGUGGAACUGCGAGUGUAGAGGUGAAAUUCGUAGAUAUUCGCAAGAACACCAGUGGCGAAGGCGGCUCACUGGCCCGAUACUGACGCUGAGGUGCGAAAGCGUGGGGAGCAAACAGG